rnacentral:misc_RNA from 1 species
AUAGAGAGGCGACAGUGUAAGGAC